rnacentral:rRNA from 1 species
GAUUGAACGCUGGCGGCAGGCUUAACACAUGCAAGUCGAACGAUGACUCUCUAGCUUGCUAGAGAUGAUUAGUGGCGGACGGGUGAGUAACAUUUAGGAAUCUACCUAGUAGUGGGGGAUAGCUCGGGGAAACUCGAAUUAAUACCGCAUACGACCUACGGGUGAAAGGGGGCGCAAGCUCUUGCUAUUAGAUGAGCCUAAAUCAGAUUAGCUAGUUGGUGGGGUAAAGGCCCACCAAGGCGACGAUCUGUAACUGGUCUGAGAGGAUGAUCAGUCACACCGGAACUGAGACACGGUCCGGACUCCUACGGGAGGCAGCAGUGGGGAAUAUUGGACAAUGGGGGCAACCCUGAUCCAGCCAUGCCGCGUGUGUGAAGAAGGCCUUUUGGUUGUAAAGCACUUUAAGCAGGGAGGAGAGGCUAAUGGUUAAUACCCAUUAGAUUAGACGUUACCUGCAGAAUAAGCACCGGCUAACUCU